rnacentral:rRNA from 1 species
GGUUAAGCGACUAAGCGUACACGGUGGAUGCCCUGGCAGUCAGAGGCGAUGAAGGACGUGCUAAUCUGCGAUAAGCGUCGGUGAGGUGAUAUGAACCGUUAUAACCGGCGAUUUCCGAAUGGGGAAACCCAGUGUGUUUCGACACACUAUCAUUAACUGAAUCCAUAGGUUAAUGAGGCGAACCGGGGGAACUGAAACAUCUAAGUACCCCGAGGAAAAGAAAUCAACCGAGAUUCCCCCAGUAGCGGCGAGCGAACGGGGAGGAGCCCAGAGCCUGAAUCAGUGUGUGUGUUAGUGGAAGCGUCUGGAAAGGCGCGCGAUACAGGGUGACAGCCCCGUACACAAAAAUGCACAUAUUGUGAGCUCGAUGAGUAGGGCGGGACACGUGGUAUCCUGUCUGAAUAUGGGGGGACCAUCCUCCAAGGCUAAAUACUCCUGACUGACCGAUAGUGAACCAGUACCGUGAGGGAAAGGCGAAAAGAACCCCGGCGAGGGGAGUGAAAAAGAACCUGAAACCGUGUACGUACAAGCAGUGGGAGCCUCUUAAUGGGGUGACUGCGUACCUUUUGUAUAAUGGGUCAGCGACUUAUAUUCUGUAGCAAGGUUAACCGAAUAGGGGAGCCGAAGGGAAACCGAGUCUUAACUGGGCGUUAAGUUGCAGGGUAUAGACCCGAAACCCGGUGAUCUAGCCAUGGGCAGGUUGAAGGUUGGGUAACACUAACUGGAGGACCGAACCGACUAAUGUUGAAAAAUUAGCGGAUGACUUGUGGCUGGGGGUGAAAGGCCAAUCAAACCGGGAGAUAGCUGGUUCUCCCCGAAAGCUAUUUAGGUAGCGCCUCGUGAAUUCAUCUCCGGGGGUAGAGCACUGUUUCGGCAAGGGGGUCAUCCCGACUUACCAACCCGAUGCAAACUGCGAAUACCGGAGAAUGUUAUCACGGGAGACACACGGCGGGUGCUAACGUCCGUCGUGAAGAGGGAAACAACCCAGACCGCCAGCUAAGGUCCCAAAGUCAUGGUUAAGUGGGAAACGAUGUGGGAAGGCCCAGACAGCCAGGAUGUUGGCUUAGAAGCAGCCAUCAUUUAAAGAAAGCGUAAUAGCUCACUGGUCGAGUCGGCCUGCGCGGAAGAUGUAACGGGGCUAAACCAUGCACCGAAGCUGCGGCAGCGACACUAUGUGUUGUUGGGUAGGGGAGCGUUCUGUAAGCCUGUGAAGGUGGCCUGUGAGGGUUGCUGGAGGUAUCAGAAGUGCGAAUGCUGACAUAAGUAACGAUAAAGCGGGUGAAAAGCCCGCUCGCCGGAAGACCAAGGGUUCCUGUCCAACGUUAAUCGGGGCAGGGUGAGUCGACCCCUAAGGCGAGGCCGAAAGGCGUAGUCGAUGGGAAACAGGUUAAUAUUCCUGUACUUGGUGUUACUGCGAAGGGGGGACGGAGAAGGCUAUGUUGGCCGGGCGACGGUUGUCCCGGUUUAAGCGUGUAGGCUGGUUUUCCAGGCAAAUCCGGAAAAUCAAGGCUGAGGCGUGAUGACGAGGCACUACGGUGCUGAAGCGACAAAUGCCCUGCUUCCAGGAAAAGCCUCUAAGCAUCAGGUAACAUCAAAUCGUACCCCAAACCGACACAGGUGGUCAGGUAGAGAAUACCAAGGCGCUUGAGAGAACUCGGGUGAAGGAACUAGGCAAAAUGGUGCCGUAACUUCGGGAGAAGGCACGCUGAUAUGUAGGUGAAGCGACUUGCUCGUGGAGCUGAAAUCAGUCGAAGAUACCAGCUGGCUGCAACUGUUUAUUAAAAACACAGCACUGUGCAAACACGAAAGUGGACGUAUACGGUGUGACGCCUGCCCGGUGCCGGAAGGUUAAUUGAUGGGGUUAGCGGUAACGCGAAGCUCUUGAUCGAAGCCCCGGUAAACGGCGGCCGUAACUAUAACGGUCCUAAGGUAGCGAAAUUCCUUGUCGGGUAAGUUCCGACCUGCACGAAUGGCGUAAUGAUGGCCAGGCUGUCUCCACCCGAGACUCAGUGAAAUUGAACUCGCUGUGAAGAUGCAGUGUACCCGCGGCAAGACGGAAAGACCCCGUGAACCUUUACUAUAGCUUGACACUGAACAUUGAGCCUUGAUGUGUAGGAUAGGUGGGAGGCUUUGAAGUGUGGACGCCAGUCUGCAUGGAGCCGACCUUGAAAUACCACCCUUUAAUG